ACUCCUACGGGAGGCAGCAGUGGGGAAUCUUGGACAAUGGGGCAACCCGUGCAUCCAGCCAUGCCGCGUGAGUGAAGAAGGCCUUAGGGUCGUAAAGCUCUUUCGCCUGUGAAGAUAAUGACGGUAGCAGGUAAAGAAACCCCGCCGUACAUCCGUGCCAGCAGCCGCGGUAAUACGGAGGGGGUUAGCGUUGUUCGGAAUUACUGGGCGUAAAGCGCGCGUAGGCGGAUU
rnacentral:rRNA from 1 species